AGGACGAACGCUGGCGGCGUGCCUAAUACAUGCAAGUCGAACGAACUCUGGUAUUGAUUGGUGCUUGCAUCAUGAUUUACAUUUGAGUGAGUGGCGAACUGGUGAGUAACACGUGGGAAACCUGCCCAGAAGCGGGGGAUAACACCUGGAAACAGAUGCUAAUACCGCAUAACAACUUGGACCGCAUGGUCUGAGUUUGAAAGAUGGCUUCGGCUAUCACUUUUGGAUGGUCCCGCGGCGUAUUAGCUAGAUGGUGGGGUAACGGCUCACCAUGGCAAUGAUACGUAGCCGACCUGAGAGGGUAAUCGGCCACAUUGGGACUGAGACACGGCCCAAACUCCUACGGGAGGCAGCGGUAGGGAAUCUUCCACAAUGGACGAAAGUCUGAUGGAGCAACGCCGCGUGAGUGAAGAAGGGUUUCGGCUCGUAAAACUCUGUUGUUAAAGAAGAACAUAUCUGAGAGUAACUGUUCAGGUAUUGACGGUAUUUAACCAGAAAGCCACGGCUAACUACGUGCCAGCAGCCGCGGUAAUACGUAGGUGGCAAGCGUUGUCCGGAUUUAUUGGGCGUAAAGCGAGCGCAGGCGGUUUUUUAAGUCUGAUGUGAAAGCCUUCGGCUCAACCGAAGAAGUGCAUCGGAAACUGGGAAACUUGAGUGCAGAAGAGGACAGUGGAACUCCAUGUGUAGCGGUGAAAUGCGUAGAUAUAUGGAAGAACACCAGUGGCGAAGGCGGCUGUCUGGUCUGUAACUGACGCUGAGGCUCGAAAGUAUGGGUAGCAAACAGGAUUAGAUACCCUGGUAGUCCAUACCGUAAACGAUGAAUGCUAAGUGUUGGAGGGUUUCCGCCCUUCAGUGCUGCAGUUAACGCAUUAAGCAUUCCGCCUGGGGAGUACGGCCGCAAGGCUGAAACUCAAAGGAAUUGACGGGGGCCCGCACAAGCGGUGGAGCAUGUGGUUUAAUUCGAAGCUACGCGAAGAACCUUACCAGGUCUUGACAUACUAUGCAAAUCUAAGAGAUUAGACGUUCCCUUCGGGGACAUGGAUACAGGUGGUGCAUGGUUGUCGUCAGCUCGUGUCGUGAGAUGUUGGGUUAAGUCCCGCAACGAGCGCAACCCUUAUUAUCAGUUGCCAGCAUUAAGUUGGGCACUCUGGUGAGACUGCCGGUGACAAACCGGAGGAAGGUGGGGAUGACGUCAAAUCAUCAUGCCCCUUAUGACCUGGGCUACACACGUGCUACAAUGGAUGGUACAACGAGUUGCGAACUCGCGAGAGUAAGCUAAUCUCUUAAAGCCAUUCUCAGUUCGGAUUGUAGGCUGCAACUCGCCUACAUGAAGUCGGAAUCGCUAGUAAUCGCGGAUCAGCAUGCCGCGGUGAAUACGUUCCCGGGCCUUGUACACACCGCCCGUCACACCAUGAGAGUUUGUAACACCCAAAGUCGGUGGGGUAACCUUUUAGGAACCAGCCGCCUAAGGUGGGACAGAUGAUUAGGGUG
rnacentral:rRNA from 1 species